GGUUCGGUGGAGUAUUGGUUAUCACAUCUGUUUUACACGCAGAAGGCCGCCGGUUCGAUCCCGGCCGGAAUCA